GGAGGAAUGGCAGAGUGGUCGAAUGCGGCGGUCUUGAAAACCGUUGACCGCUUACCGGCGGUCCGGGGGUUCGAAUCCCUCUUCCUCCGCAA
rnacentral:tRNA from 1 species